CACGAGCUGGCUGGUCGGCGCGGUCGCCUCCUGUCAGGAGGCGGCGGUCGGGGCGAGCAUUCUGCUCAGCCAGGUGAUCGCGA
rnacentral:tRNA from 1 species